rnacentral:rRNA from 1 species
UACGUAGGGGGCAAGCGUUGUCCGGAAUCAUUGGGCGUAAAGAGCGCGUAGGCGGCCCAGUAAGUCCGCUCUGAAAGUUAGGGGCUCAACCCCCUGGAUGCGGGUGGAUACUGCUGGGCUAGAGUCCGGAAGAGGUGAGUGGAAUUCCUGGUGUAGCGGUGAAAUGCGCAGAUAUCAGGAGGAACACCUAUGCGAAGGCAGCUCGCUGGGACGUAACUGACGCUGAGACGCGAAAGCGUGGGGAGCGAACAGG